GUUCUCAUUUACUGGAGAGACAUGAGCAUUUGAGGAAGCUUUAACAAAUACCAACGUCCAGGUUGCAUCAUCAGAAAAUUGGGCCUGAGGUAGGGCCCCCAGGAUAGUGAAGAUGUAAAGAUUUAAUGCUCCUGGGAGAAGAGGUUCAGAAUAAAG